rnacentral:ncRNA from 2 species
CUUAUCAAGAGUGGCGGAGGGAACGGCCCGAUGAAGCCCGGCAACCUGUGGGAGACCGCAAGGUGCCAAAUCCGGCGGCAGUGUUCGAAAGAUGAGG